GGAAAAAAAAAGAAAAGGGAACCUCCCUUAUACAAUUACAGAAUGUUAGAGCAAAGGAAAUCUGAAAAAUGAUCUUGUACAGGCCACCAUUUUAUGGAUGAAGAAACAGGAGCCCAGAGUGAAUUGCUGAUGUCUCACCAAGCUGGGGCUCUGCCUGGCCUAGAGCUGGGGUCCCUUGACUUUCAGAUCCACUUUGCAGCACCAACAUCAUGGAUCCUCUGUCUUACUGCUUGGUGACUGAAUGUGUUAGGCACUGGGAAGAUGGAAAUGAAAGAGACAUAAUACUUGACAUCGAGGAGCUCACAGUCCAGUAGAGAAAGGUGGUACAUAGACCACCUCCUCCCAAAUUAUACUAUACUCUGUACGCUAUUGCUAGAAUGAUGUUUCUAAAUAUAGAAAUUGUCAUUUAUGUGUCCCUGCUUAAAGCCCUGCAGUGGAUCCUUGUUGUCUAUAAAGUAAAACCUCUUCUGUGUUCUCCAGACUCUUGUGUAACUGGGUCUAUGCUGAUGCCCAAGAUCUAGCCAUAAAGAACCAGUUGCUUUUCCCUAAAUGUGGCAUGGUCUUUCAUCCUGCCAGGUCUUUGCUCAUGUUGUCCUCUGCCUGGAAUGCCUGGAAUGCCCUCUUCUCAACACCCUCCAGGAGAGUUACCUCUUUUGUAACUCCUUUGCAGUCUGGGAGGGCACUGCUGAACUGAGGGUUUGGUGAACUGAGAAUGAUCCAGUUGAGAAGUGAUGGGAGCCUGAACCAAGGCAGUAGAGAUGGAGAAAAACAGAAUGAUUGGAGAAACAAACACAGCAUCCAUGUGACGGCAGAGAACCUCCUGGCAUUCCUCGAGCUGCAGAACAGGAAGGAGAGGCAAUGGCUGCCUGCUGGUGGUGCACGCACCAAGCCAAGCUACCAAAGUGUUUCCUGCUUGGUCUCCACAGAUGUUGCUCCUCAGGUCUGGAUAAGUCCCCCAGCAAGUAUUUUGCUGAAAGCAAGAAAGGCAGCUGCAUAACUGCCUGGUCCACAGGGCUGACAAACCACUGUGUCAUUGAAGAAAGAGAGAGUCAUGGGAAAUUAAAGCCUGUGGUUCCACCUCUCAAGCAGGGAGGAACACUUAGAAGAGAGUAUUUCAAAACAAAAAGUUGUAAUGUGGAGCCAAUCAACAGAAUUGUUUGACCUUCUCCCACAUGAGGAGCAGAAGCAGGGAAAAAAUGUCCUUGAGUUGCCCCAGAGCUGGAGGCUGACAAGCCAACGAUUGGGUGCUGUGCUGGAGGGAAGCACAAAAGAGGUAUGUGCCCAAGCCUUUGUCUCACAAUAAACUUGGAAGACUAGGCUUACAACAAAUGAUUACAGGACAACUGACUCAGGGCUCAAGCAGGUCAUCUAAACACUGGAUGGGAUUGGAUCUCUGAGGCAGAGACCUGUGGGCAGGCAGUCCCAUGCAGAAGUCACCUGCAUGCCAUUGAGGUUGGCCAGAUAGACCUGGGCUGAAAUCUCCGUGCCUCUGCUUAGCACUUUCUCUGUCUGUGAAGUAGGAAUAAGAAUCUCUGCUCAUAAGCUGGUUGGAGUAUUACAAACAAUAAGGCAGGUACAGAGCUCAAUACAGCAUUUGACACACAAAAGCACUCCAUAAGUAUUUACUACCAUUAUCAUUAUUGUUGUUAUUAUCUAGGAAUAUUUAUGAUGGGGGAACUGAUUUGGACUUGGGGCACAUUGAAUUCUUUGGAGGGAACUUAAGGAGGUGUCCUGAGGGCCACUGGAACAAUGCCGUGGGCUCAGCCCAGGCCUUCAGGAGAGGAGAGGGAGAUGUGCAAGGAGAAACUCCGCAUUGGUUCUUCUUUUGUUUGUGUUUGUGCCACUUCCCCACUUCUAACAGGUGCGUAGUACUCCAGAGCACCCUUUCACCUUCCUCUCCCACUCUUCUGUUCUGUUUUUCUUCUCUUCAACUCUUGUACUUCCCUUUUCUCCUCAGAACCCCAAGUGGUGGAUGAGUAAGGAACUAAACCACCUUUUACACAUUCUAAGUUUGCCUUUUUUGAAACCGAAAGGUUGUCUUCUAAUUCCUGCACCGGCAGUUUACAUAAGUCUGUGUUCACCCUGUUUCUUCCCUUAACUUUAAAAUAUCUAUUCCCCGAACCAUUGUCUACAGUAAGUACUCUCAAAUGAUAGCCAUUGGUAGAGAGACAAGGAUUCCAAGCCAUAAGAGUUCAAUUAAGGAAGGCUCUUUUGAGGUAACUGUAUCUUUCAAAAGAAACCAACAGAGGUGUGAACUGUCUGCAGGGCUCUUCUCGGCAAGGAGGUGUCCCUUCCGCACUCAGAUAUAGAUCUUCAUGGAGG
ensembl:lincRNA